UUUCCCUCAGGAUAGCUGGAGCCCAUUACGAGUUCUAUCAGGUAAAGCCAAUGAUUAGAGGCAUUGGGGACGCAACGUCCUCGACUUAUUCUCAAACUUUAAAUAGGUAGGAUGGCGCGGCUGCUUCGGUGAGCCGUGCCAUGGAAUCGGGUGCUCCAAGUGGGCCAUUUUUGGUAAGCAGAACUGGCGAUGCGGGAUGAANNN
rnacentral:rRNA from 1 species